rnacentral:rRNA from 1 species
ACGGGUGAGUAAUAUAUCGGAACGUGCCCAGUUGUGGGGGAUAGCCCGGCGAAAGCCGGAUUAAUACCGCAUACGACCUGAGGGUGAAAGCGGGGGAUCGCAAGACCUCGCGCAAUUGGAGCGGCCGAUAUCAGAUUAGCUAGUUGGUGGGGUAAAGGCCUACCAAGGCGACGAUCUGUAGCUGGUCUGAGAGGACGACCAGCCACACUGGGACUGAGACACGGCCCAGACUCCUACGGGAGGCAGCAGUGGGGAAUUUUGGACAAUGGGCGCAAGCCUGAUCCAGCCAUGCCGCGUGCGGGAAGAAGGCCUUCGGGUUGUAAACCGCUUUUGUCAGGGAAGAAACGGUCUGACCUAAUACGUUGGACUAAUGACGGUACCUGAAGAAUAAGCACCGGCUAACUACGUGCCAGCAGCCGCGGUAAUACGUAGGGUGCAAGCGUUAAUCGGAAUUACUGGGCGUAAAGCGUGCGCAGGCGGCUACGCAAGACAGAUGUGAAAUCCCCGGGCUCAACCUGGGAACUGCAUUUGUGACUGCAUGGCUAGAGUACGGUAGAGGGGGAUGGAAUUCCGCGUGUAGCAGU